rnacentral:rRNA from 1 species
AGAGUUUGAUCCCGGCUCAGAAUCAACGCUGGCGGCGCGCUUAACACAUGCAAGUCGAACGAGAAAGGGAGCAAUCCUGAGUAAAGUGGCGUACUGGUGAGUAACACGUGGAUAUCAACCUCCUGGUGGGGAAUAACCUGGGGAAACCUGGGCUAAUACCGCAUAAGUUCGAGAGAAGAAAGGCGCAAGUCGCCGGGAGAGGAGUCCGCGGUCGAUUAGGUAGUUGGCGGGGUAAAAGCCCACCAAGCCAAAGAUCGAUAGCCGGCCUGAGAGGGCACACGGCCACACUGGCACUGAAACACGGGCCAGACUCCUACGGGAGGCAGCAGUGGGGAAUCUUGCACAAUGGGGGAAACCCUGAUGCAGCGACGCCGCGUGAGCGAUGAAGCCCUUCGGGGUGUAAAGCUCUUUCGGCAGGAACGAUAAUGACGGUACCUGCAGAAGAAGCUGCGGCUAACUACGUGCCAGCAGCCGCGGUAAUACGUAGGCAGCGAGCGUUGUUCGGAAUUACUGGGCGUAAAGAGUGUGUAGGUGGUGUCGUAAGUUUGGUGUGAAAUCUCCCGGCUUAACUGGGAGGGUGCGCCGAAGACUGCGAGGCUGGAGUAUGGGAGAGGAAAGCGGAAUUCCUGGUGUAGCGGUGAAAUGCGUAGAUAUCAGGAGGAACACCUGCGGUGUAGACGGCUUUCUGGACCAUUACUGACACUGAGACACGAAAGCGUGGGUAGCAAACAGGAUUAGAUACCCUGGUAGUCCACGCCCUAAACGAUGACAACUAGACGUUGGGGGCAUAUGGCCCACAGUGUCGCAGCUAACGCGUUAAGUUGUCCGCCUGGGGAGUCCGGCCGCAAGGUUGAAACUCAAAGGAAUUGACGGGGACCCGCACAAGCGGUGGAGCAUGUGGUUUAAUUCGAUACAACGCGAAGAACCUUACCUGGUCUUGACAUGUCUGGAGGCCCGAAGAGAUUUGGGUGUGCCGCAAGGAACCAGAACACAGGUGCUGCAUGGCUGUCGUCAGCUCGUGUCGUGAGAUGUUGGGUUAAGUCCCGCAACGAGCGCAACCCCUGUCCUUAGUUGCCAUCAUUAAGUUGGGAACUCUAAGGAGACCGCCGGUGACAAACCGGAGGAAGGUGGGGAUGACGUCAAGUCAUCAUGGCCUUUAUGACCAGGGCUACACACGUGCUACAAUGGCAGGUACAGAGGGAAGCCAACCCGCGAGGGGGAACUAAUCCCAGAAAGCCUGUCUUAGUCCGGAUUGGAGUCCGCAACUCGACUCCAUGAAGUUGGAAUCGCUAGUAAUCGCAGAUCAGCAUUGCUGCGGUGAAUACGUUCCCGGGUCUUGUACACACCGCCCGUCACACCAUGGGAGUUGAUUGCACCAGAAACAGGUAGCCUGACCGCAAGGAGGGCGCUUACCACGGUGUGGUUAAUGACUGGGGUGAAGUCGGAACAAGGUA